UCUGUGGAUCCUCCACCUACGGACUUGUAAAAUCCAAAGGCAUGUUGUCUGACUAUCACCUUCAAAAUCAGUGAGCAACAUAAAGAAUUGGGUGUCAGAAAUACGUCAUUGCAAGGAAGGAAGCAAAGCAGGAAGUAUGAGAUCAUUGCUGAAGCUCAAGUUCAUGUAUCUUGACAGAGCAUCCUCUCCUCACCAGCGACAGAAAAGUGGUAGAAGCCUCCCAAGGAACACUGUACAUUUGGAUGAAACCAGAGCAAAUUUAGUAUGGUAAGUAGAC